GACGUAGGGCGCGAGCGUUGUCCGGAUUUAUUGGCGUAAAGAGCUCGUAGGCGGCUUGUCGCGUCGACUGUGAAAACCCGCGGCUCAACCGCGGCCUGCAGCCGAUACGGGCAGGCUAGAGUUCGGUAGGGGGAGACUGGAAUUCCUGGUGUAGCGGUGAAAUGCGCAGAUAUCAGGAGGAACACCGAUGGCGAAGGCAGGUCUCUGGGCAUUAACUGACGCUGAGGAGCGAAAGCAUGGGGAGCGAACAGG
rnacentral:rRNA from 1 species